rnacentral:rRNA from 1 species
GACGAACGCUGGCGGCGUGUUUAACACAUGCAAGUCGAACGGUGAACUCCGCUUGCGGGGGGAUCAGUGGCGAACGGGUGAGUAACACGUGGGCAACCUGCCCUCAGCUCUGGGAUAACUCCAAGAAAUUGGGGCUAAUACCGGAUAUGACCGCUGACCGCAUGGUCUGGUGGUGGAAAGAUUUAUCGGCUGGGGAUGGGCCCGCGGCCUAUCAGCUUGUUGGUGGGGUAGUGGCCUACCAAGGCGACGACGGGUAGCCGGCCUGAGAGGGUGACCGGCCACACUGGGACUGAGGCACGGCCCAGACUCCUACGGGAGGCAGCAGUGGGGAAUAUUGCGCAAUGGGCGAAAGCCUGACGCAGCGACGCCGCGUGGGGGAUGACGGCCUUCGGGUUGUAAACCUCUUUCAGCAGGGACGAAGCGAAAGUGACGGUACCUGCAGAAGAAGCACCGGCCAACUACGUG